rnacentral:lncRNA from 10 species
GCGGCCUCUGCAGGACAGUACCUUGAUGACAGUCCCAGCUCUACUCCCACUUGCCAUGUCACUGGGUACAGCAGAUUUUGUUUUCCAAAGAUGGAGGCAAUAAUACCUCCUGUCCUGUACCUUCUGGAUGAGGCCAUUUCCCCCUCAAGAGGUGACAUUUAUAGUUUGUGUUCCCUCCCCUUGAAUCUGGGUGGACUGUGACCCUAGCAGUGACAUUAUGUGUUAUUGAAGGCAAGGUCAAAAAAGGUGAUGCAGCUUCCCUUGCUGGUUCCAUUCUCACUGGAGGUUUGAGCUGCCAGGUAAGCAGUCCAGCCACCUUCAGCCGGCCAUGCUGUGAGGAAUCCCAGUGAACACAUAGAGCGACCCUAACUAAAUAGAGGUGCCUGGCUAGCUCCAAGCUGCCUCGGUUCCCCUGGUUCUCACAGUUGGUCC